rnacentral:tRNA from 1 species
GCCCCGAUGGUGAAAUCGGUAGACACAUCAGACUUAAAAUCUGACGACCGCAAGGUCAUGCCGGUUCGAUUCCGGCUCGGGGCACCA